rnacentral:rRNA from 1 species
UACGGAGGGUGCGAGCGUUGUCCGGAAUCACUGGGCGUAAAGGGCGCGUAGGUGGCGCAACAAGUCAACGGUGAAAGCUCGGCGCUCAACGCCGAGUCGGCCGUCGAUACUGUUGGGCUGGAGCACUGUAGAGGCAGAUGGAAUUCCGGGCGUAGCGGUGGAAUGCGUAGAGAUCCGGAAGAACACCGGUGGCGAAAGCGCUCUACUGGACUGCAACUGUCACUCAGGGACGAAAGCUAGGGGAGCGAAUGGG